rnacentral:rRNA from 1 species
AGUGAACGCUGGCGGUAGGCCUAACACAUGCAAGUCGAACGGCAGCACAGUAAGAGCUUGCUCUUCCGGGGGGCGGGUGGCGGACGGGUGAGGAAUACAUCGGAAUCUACUUUUUCGUGGGGGUUAACGUAGGGAAACUUACGCUAAUACAGCAUACGCCCUACGGGUGAAAGGAGGGGAUCUUCGGACCUUGCGCGGUUGAAUUCGCCGAUGUCGGAUUAGCUAGUUGGCGAGGUAAAGGCCCACCAAGGCGACGAUCCGUAGCUGGUCUGAGAGGAUGAUCAGCCACACUGGAACUGAGACACGGUCCAGACUCCUACGGGAGGCAGCAGUGGGGAAUAUUGGACAAUGGGCGCAAGCCUGAUCCAGCCAUACCGCGUGGGUGAAGAAGGCCUUCGGGUUGUAAAGCCCUUUUGUUGGGAAAGAAAAGCAGCAGGUUAAUACCCCGCUGUUCUGACGGUACCCAAAGAAUAAGCACCGGCUAACUUCGUG